rnacentral:rRNA from 1 species
UACGAAGGGGGCUAGCGUUGUUCGGAAUCACUGGGCGUAAAGGGCGCGUAGGCGGCUUUAUAAGUCGGGGGUGAAAGCCUGUGGCUCAACCACAGAAUUGCCUUCGAUACUGUAGAGCUCGAGUCCGGGAGAGGUGAGUGGAACUGCGAGUGUAGAGGUGAAAUUCGUAGAUAUUCGCAAGAACACCAGUGGCGAAGGCGGCUCACUGGCCCGGUACUGACGCUGAGGUGCGAAAGCGUGGGGAGCAAACAGG